UGGGCUUGACAUCCCACGAACCUUCCCGAAAGGCGGGGGUGCCCGCAAGGGAGCGCGGAGACAGGUGGUGCAUGGCUGUCGUCAGCUCGUGUCGUGAGAUGUUGGGUUAAGUCCCGCAACGAGCGCAACCCUCACCCCUUGUUGCCAUCAGGUCAGGCUGGGCACUCUAGGGGAACUGCCCCGGUCAACGGGGAGGAAGGUGGGGAUGACGUCAAGUCAUCAUGCCCCUUACGUCCUGGGCUACACACGUGCUACAAUGGCCGGUACAAAGGGAUGCAAGACCGCGAGGUGGAGCUAAACCCAAAAAGCCGGUCUAAGUUCAGAUUGGAGUCUGCAACUCGACUCCAUGAAGGAGGAAUCGCUAGUAAUCGCGCAUCAGCACGGCGCGGUGAAUACGUUCCCGGGCCUUGUACACACCGCCCGUCACACCACGAAAGCCGGCUGUACUCGAAGUCGCUGAG
rnacentral:rRNA from 1 species